rnacentral:rRNA from 1 species
GAUGAACGCUAGCUACAGGCUUAACACAUGCAAGUCGAGGGGCAGCAUGAACUUAGCUUGCUAAGUUUGAUGGCGACCGGCGCACGGGUGAGUAACACGUAUCCAACCUGCCGAUGACUCGGGGAUAGCCUUUCGAAAGAAAGAUUAAUACCCGAUGGCAUAGUUCUUCCGCAUGGUAGAACUAUUAAAGGAUUUCGGUCAUCGAUGGGGAUGCGUUCCAUUAGGUUGUUGGCGGGGUAACGGCCCACCAAGCCUUCGAUGGAUAGGGGUUCUGAGAGGAAGGUCCCCCCACAUUGGAACUGAGGCACGGUCCAAACUCCUACGGGAGGCAGCAGUGAGGAAUAUUGGUCAAUGGACGAGAGUCUGAACCAGCCAAGUAGCGUGAAGGAUGACUGCCCUAUGGGUUGUAAACUUCUUUUAUACGGGAAUAAAGUGAGGCACGUGUGCCUUUUUGUAUGUACCGUAUGAAUAAGGAUCGGCUAACUCCGUGCCAGCAGCCGCGGU